rnacentral:rRNA from 1 species
AUACAGAGGGUGCAAGCGUUAAUCGGAAUUACUGGGCGUAAAGCGCGCGUAGGCGGUUUAAUCAGUCGGAUGUGAAAGCCCCGGGCUCAACCUGGGAACUGCAUUCGAUACUGUUAAGCUAGAGUAUGGUAGAGGGAAGUGGAAUUCCAGGUGUAGCGGUGAAAUGCGUAGAUAUCAGGAGGAACAUCAGUGGCGAAGGCGACUUCCUGGACCAAUACUGACGCUGAGGUGCGAAAGCGUGGGGAGCAAACAGGAUUAGAAACCCGAGUAGUCC